rnacentral:rRNA from 1 species
AGAGUUUGAUCCUGGCUCAGGACGAACGCUGGCGGCGUGCUUAACACAUGCAAGUCGAACGGAAAGGCCCACCACCUUGGUGGUGGGUACUCGAGUGGCGAACGGGUGAGUAACACGUGGGUGAUCUGCCCCGCACUGUGGGAUAAGCCUGGGAAACUGGGUCUAAUACCACAUACGACCACACUGUAGACAGUGUGGUGGAAAGCUUUUGCGGUGUGGGAUGAGCCCGCGGCCUAUCAGCUUGUUGGUGGGGUAAUGGCCUACCAAGGCGGCGACGGGUAGCCGGCCUGAGAGGGUGGACGGCCACAUUGGGACUGAGACACGGCCCAGACUCCUACGGGAGGCAGCAGUGGGGAAUAUUGCACAAUGGGCGCAAGCCUGAUGCAGCGACGCCGCGUGGGGGAUGACGGCCUUCGGGUUGUAAACUCCUUUCGCCCGGGACGAAGCCCACCUGGUGGGUGACGGUACCGUGGAGAAGAAGCACCGGCUAACUACGUGCCAGCAGCCGCGGUAAUACGUAGGGUGCAAGCGUUGUCCGGAUUUACUGGGCGUAAAGAGCUCGUAGGUGGUGUGUCGCGUCGUCUGUGAAAUUCCGGGGCUUAACUCCGGGCGUGCAGGCGAUACGGGCACGACUAGAGUGCUGUAGGGGUAACUGGAAUUCCUGGUGUAGCGGUGAAAUGCGCAGAUAUCAGGAGGAACACCGAUGGCGAAGGCAGGUUACUGGGCAGUUACUGACGCUGAGGAGCGAAAGCAUGGGGAGCGAACAGGAUUAGAUACCCUGGUAGUCCAUGCUGUAAACGGUGGGCGCUAGGUGUGGGCUGUGUGUUUGCAGUCUGUGCCGUAGCUAACGCAUUAAGCGCCCCGCCUGGGGAGUACGGCCGCAAGGCUAAAACUCAAAGGAAUUGACGGGGGC